rnacentral:lncRNA from 1 species
GGGACUGUGAACCCUACAAGAUGACAAAGAAUUUAAGCCCAAGUCACCAGCACCUGUGAUCCCCCUCUCCUCAAGCUUUAUGUGUGUAUUGAUGAUGAACAGUGACAUCAGAACAGUGAACAAGUGGCUCUCCCAUUAUUUCCCUUACCUCUGACUGCUGAAAGAUCCAAUUCUCAAAGAGUUAUAGAGCUCUUGCAUAGAGAAAAAGAGCUUCAGAAAGAAAAAAGAAUAAAGCUGACUCCUACUCCAUCUGCCUAGCAGAAAACAGAAGCAGCCUCAGAUGACAACUUGGAUAAUUUUCCAGUUAACAGAUCAUGGUUCCAGCUGUCCUUGAAGUACAUGUGAAAUCAGACAUUGAUGUUAAUAGAAGCUCUGCUGGACCCUGAGUAACUGAAAUAAUGCAGAAAGCUACAGUCCUCACCGUGAAUAUCGCCUAAAAGUAAGUGACCUGGACAACAUUUCUAUGGAGUGGACACUGUACUGACUUUGCAGUAAAAUGAGGUGAUGGUAGCAAGUCUAGUCUAGUCAUGUCUGGUGCAGCAUAGCUCUUGCCAGUAGUUUCUCACAGGUUGAGUAUUUGUGCUCCUACAAAGGAAUGAAAUGUUCCUUU